rnacentral:rRNA from 1 species
UACGUAGGGUGCAAGCGUUGUCCGGAAUUAUUGGGCGUAAAGAGCUCGUAGGCGGUCUGUCGCGUCGGCUGUGAAACCCCGGGGCUCAACCCCGGGCCUGCAGUCGAUACGGGCAGACUAGAGUUCGGUAGGGGAGUCUGGAAUUCCUGGUGUAGCGGUGAAAUGCGCAGAUAUCAGGAGGAACACCGGUGGCGAAGGCGGGUCUCUGGGCCGAUACUGACGCUGAGGAGCGAAAGCGUGGGGAGCGAACAGG